UAUUCUAACACGUAUGUAUUGUGAGAUGCUACUUGCAAAAGAGACAUGUUAAAGUUAUAUAUGUAUAGAAACAUGUACGAAAAUGAUUAAAGGCUUGCUCCCGGCCUGAACAUUUGCUGACAGCGCUUCUGACGGCUGUCAAAUAAAUAUUCUCUUAAAACUAAAUAACAAAAACAAUUCGAAUGUGUCUGCUUUGCAAUGGUAAACAGAGCGUUUACAAUUAUAAACAUAAACAAUUGUAAAUAAAUAUAAUAAAUGAGUGAUUAAAGUGUAUAUAGUAAAAUAAGAUAAAUCACAGCGAAUUCCAAUUAAGCAUAAUUUGGAUAUUAUAAAAUAUAAAAAUUAAUUUAUCACAGUUAUAACGAAUUCUCACAUGUGGAGACAACUCUAAGUUUUAAAAAAUAUUUUUUUUUGAUUGUUAACCCCUAUGGGUACCUGGUGUAGCUUUUAUAUAAAAAUGUGGUGUUGUAUUGCCUGGAACGGGCUCUAUGUUUUCAUUCAAGAUUCCAAUUGUUGACAGAUACUGCGACGAUGACCAAGAAAUGUUUUUAUCUCUGUCAUAGAUUUCAUUCAUCAAUACGUUGUCGUGGUUGGGGAGUUUCUCAACAAAUCUCUUUUGGAUGUUUAGGGCGUAUAGACAGAUUGGUUCUAUUCCUGAAUUGCUAUAUAUGAUUUUUCGUUCGAAGAUCUCCAAUUCCUUCAUGACCGAUGGCGAGAUGGAAAACCAAAUUGGAAAUCCAUACAGCAGAAUUGGACGAAUGGCUGCCUUGUAUAGUAGGAGUUUAGUCUUUUGUGAUCGAACGUGUGAAUUAAAUUUAAGCAGCAUAUUAAAUGUUACUCCAAGGUACUGCAUGUUUGCUUUAAAAGGGAUUUCCACACCUUCUAACGCCGUUCGUAGCAGCUUACUUUCCGGUACCACAUGUUUUGGACAUUUUCCCGAUGCGUUCCUUAUGCAGAUAGCUUGAGACUUGGCAGCAUUAAUGCAUAUACCCCAUUUUUUAUAAUAUUGGUGUAUUAUAAAUAAGUGCUCCUCUACGUGACGUAGUGCAUACUCCGGUGAAGCAUUAUGUGCAUAAAUUAGACAAUCGUCAGCAUAGAGAAUUGCUUUUGAAUGAGAUGUUGAGUGAGGAAAGUCAUUUAGAAAUGUGUUGAACAGAAAAGGUGCUAAGACACUCCCUUGAGGAACCCCACUGUUAACUGGACCUUGGAUUGACUUGUCGUUUCUUAUUUGUACAAAGAAUUUACGAUCGGAAAGGUAAUUUUGUAUUAUUUUGAUUAAAAAUGGGUCCACACCCAGUUCAAUGAGUUUAUAUACAAUUGCUUUGUGGCACACGGAGUCAAAGGCUUUUUCUAUGUCCAAGGAUAUGGCUACAGUACUGAUACGGUUUUUCAAAUUUGCUGUAGUGUCGUUGUGGAACUUUAAAAGCGCGUGCUGUGUUGAAUGCUUUCGUUGGAAACCAAAUUGAAAGUUAGAUAUAUGAUUUGUAAUGAACUCAUUUUCUAUUUUUUCUUUUAGGACAUGUUCAAAGAUUUUACCGAGAUUUGAUAAGAGAGAGAUCGGACGAUAAUCAGCAACACUUUCGCUAUUGGCCUUUUUUUGGACUGGAACAAUUUUUGCUAGCUUCCACAUUUUGGGAAAGUAGCCAUUAUUGAUGGAGUUAUUACAAAUGCAUGUUAUAAUUCGCAGAGCAGUUUCAGGAAAUUUGCGCAUAACAAAAUUUGAGAUUCCAUCAACUCCACUUGACUUUUUAUUAUUGGCCUUUUGCAUAAUUUCUUUGAUUUUUUCAGGAUUGGCGAAAUGGUAAUUAUCUGUAUUUGAUAUUGAGUUGAACUGUCUGUCGAAUGAAUAUAUACUUGGAGAUAUGGAUGUGAGACAAGAAGAAAUUCUAGAUUGAAGAAUAUCCGUUGGAAGUCCAGUUAUAGUUUCUUGAAAGGAAGACGUAUAGUACUGGUGGAAAUGAUUUGCAAUUUCAGAAUUAUAAAAAACAGUGGUGUUAUUGACCUGCAAUUGCUGGCAGAACGGGGAUUUCUUUCUGCCGCUGAACUUAUAAAUCUCUUUAAAAGCAGAUGGGCCAGGUUUAAUAUCUUGAAGACGAUUGUUGAAUGUGUCAGCUUGUUCGAUGCUUAUUGAUUCUUUUAUUACUACUUUCAGAAGCUGAAUUUGUUUGGAUAAUAUGCGGUAAUCGCUGCUCAUUCUAUUUCCUGUUCUAUGAAAUAUCUUUUUUAAUUCUUUCUGCCAUUGAUGUUUUACUUUGUAAAGCCGUUUGGAUCUCUCAGAGAGAGGAAAGAGGCCGUUGUUGAUUGUGAUUAUCUGUGAGUGGGCAUCGUGGAUUGAGUUGAAACAGCUGUUGAAGGAGUCAACUAAUCCAUCAAUAUCUUCAUUACUAAGAUUAGUUUCUGCUGAAGGAAAUAUAUGAAGGAGGAGCAUUUAAAAUCAAGUCGGUACAAUCCAUUUUUAUUGACAUUUUUAACGGGAAAUGGUCCGAAAAUGAUGGUAAUGAGGAAAUUACGAAGUUUGGUGUUAUGUUGUCCAACAGAUUGGAGCUGACAAGAAAAUGAUCCAAAUAGGAAGGGCCAUUCGGAUAUGACGGUGACACAUCGCAUACUCGAACUACGUCUAAUAUGUUUGUUUGCAGCCAAGCUUUCAAAGAUUUUCCGUUGGUAUUCUCUGCAGAGUCACCCCAGUCUGGGUUUCUUGAAUUUAAAUCCCCACCAAAAAUAAAGCCGUCAUAACUUGCACACACUUGCAUGAGUUUAUCUAGAUCAGCUUCCAGCUGCUGAGCAGGAUAAUUGCAAGGGACGUAUAAUGAUCCCAACGCGAUUUUUUUUCGAACUGAAUUUUGUAGACAUUCAAUUUGAAUCAUGCAUGUUUUUACGCCGACAUCACUGAUAACAAUUUUUGUGUGUAAUAUGGACUUUUUUAUUAAAACGGCUACGCCAAUGGGUGGCACUCUUGGAUAAAUCCCACAUCGAUAACUCUCAGAGCAAAGGAAGCUAUCUUUUAAAUCAUUGGUUACCUCAAAUUUUGACUCCAAAGUCUUUCAUUGUGACAACUGCUUUUUCAAUACUUGUUGGUAUCUGUGCGUACUACUACAAGAGCCAAUACAUGACUACGGGAAUCAGUUGAGUGUAUCUGAAUUUACUGCAGCCGCCGACGACUACUUCGCUUCGGCAUGCAACAUUUCCAUAUUGUGGAUUAAUUGGAUUUUCGUUAUUUUAGUUUCUAGCGUAGGGGUGACGUUUAAACUACACUUCUCAUUUGCACAUUUUUCAAUUAAACCAUUAUAAGCAUUUAAAUUAAGUAAAUCGAUGAAUAGCGUAUUUUUUAACUGUUGUUGGUGUCGUCGGUGUUAAAUCUUUGUUUAAUGUGUCUUGGUGACAAUAGUUCACCAGGAAUCAAACAUCUAGCGUUUCGGAUAUGUUUUCAACUUACGAUAAACCAGCUCAUCUAUUCGUAGAAUGGAGGUAUACUAUUUAUUCUUUGUUCUUUUUUAUAUUAUUAGUCACAGAUUGGUUGAGCUACCCUAAUUUCGUAAAUGUGAUUCUAUUUUAAGCUGAACAUAGUUUUUAAAUGUUGUUUUUGUAGCCAAGAAAACAAUAUUCUUAUAAGUUUUGCAGUUGAUUUUAACUUAAUCGGUAAUAAGUGAGUUAUGUGAAUCGUUAGUAUAUUCACAUGAGAAAUUGGUACUGACAGGAAGUCAAUAUAUAUUAAUUUAUAAAAAUAAAACAUAUUAAAAAGUAA